UCUGUGGCAGUUAUCAAGGGCCCGGUUAGCUCCUGGCUUCCUCUGAGGCCUCUGGGGCCUUCUUAGGAAGAGUCGCAAUGAUUUUGGUGAGAAUUCCUCUUUUCUUUAUUAAACCAUCGAGUCCUAAAUGCCUUUUUUAAAAUGGCAAUUCUAUCGUGAGAACACAAGGAUAUCAUUCCUACUCUUCUUGAUGGGACCGAUCCUGCUUUAAAAAAAGCAGCUUGAGGGAGAGCACGCCAGACUCUUGAGUUUAUUAUCCCCUGAGUUCCACGUGACUAUGCCUUCUUCAGCAUAUGGAUGAGAGAGAUGCAGUGACAUCAUGCAGACCUAAAGCCAAGCCUCACUGUUCCUGUCACUAACAAUGUUCCUGCAGGCAAGUCAAGUCUUACUUCCCACAUUAGAAGAGCCAGAGGAUCACACGCUACUCACGUGAAGGAUGCAGAUAUCAAAGGGAGACUGUGUUCUGGUCCUAGCCCCUGGACCAUGUCCUGGCACACAAUACCUGCUCCACUCUCCAGUCUCUGCUCAGCCUCUGGUUUCACAGUCCACAGCUUCCUUUGUGUUGCGAUCAUUAGUUUUUCUCUUUCUCUUGGACAAAGAAGUUUCUCCCCUCCUUCACACCUUCUUCCUCCAGCAUCAGCCUUUCUCCAGUCUCACCUCUCUCUACCUUCAGACUUUGCUUCUCUUUGAAGCCUCACUCAAGAAACAGUCUGGGGUUGGGAGAUGGCUCAGCAGUUAAGAGCACUUGCUGCUCUAGCAGAGGACCCAGGUUCAAUUCCCAGCACCCAUGUGGUGGCUGACAACCACCUGCAACUCCAGGUUUAGGGUAUCUGAUGUCCUCUUCUAGCCUCCAUGGGCUGCUGCACCCCAGUGGUACACAGGAAUUUACACACACACACACACACACACACACACACACACACACACACACACGAAAAUAAAUAAAAAGUAUAGAUUCAGUUGGGGAACAUUUUCUAGGCCACCCAAUCCUGCUACAAUAAAUGGGUCAAAUUGAUACUCA